rnacentral:rRNA from 1 species
ACGGGGUGCAGCAGGCGCGAAAACUCCGCAAUACACGAAAGUGUGACGGGGGGACCCCAAGUGCUCUCGCGCAAGCGAGUGCUUUUGUGAGGUGUAAAUAGCUUUACGAAUAAGAGCUGGGUAAGACCGGUGCCAGCCGCCGCGGUAACACCGGCAGCUCGAGUGGUGAUCAUUAUUAUUGGGCCUAAAGCGUCCGUAGCCUGUUUGAUAAGUCCUUGGGCAAAUCCUGCCGCUUAACGGUAGGAAUUCUGAGGAUACUGUCAGACUUGAGGCCGAGAGAGGUCGGAGGUACUCCUGGGGUAGCGGUGAAAUGCUAUAAUCCUAGGGGGACCACCAGUGGCGAAAGCGUCCGACCAGAGCGGGCCUGACGGUAAGGGACGAAAGCCAGGGGCGCGAACGGGAUUAGAUACCCCGGUAGUCCUGGCCGUAAACGCUGUGGGCUAGGUGUUGCAUGCUCUACGAGGGCGUGCAGUGCCGAAGAGAAGUUGAUAAGCCUACCGCCUGGGAAGUACUAUCGCAAGAUAGAAACUUAAAGGAAUUGGCGGGGGAGCACCACAAGGGGUGAAGUCUGCGGUUUAAUUGGAUUCAACGCCGGAAAUCUCACUGGAAGCGACGGCAGUAUGAUGGCCAAGCUGAUGACUUUGCUUGACGAGCCGAGAGGAGGUGCAUGGCCGUCGUCAGCUCGUACCGUAAGGCGUCCUGUUAAGUCAGGCAACGAGCGAGACCCGUACCCUUAUUUGUCAGUUAGUCCC